GAGUUUGAUCGUGGCUCAGAUUGAACGCUGGCGGCAUGCCUUACACAUGCAAGUCGAACGGCAGCACGGGAGCUUGCUCCUGGUGGGCGAGUGGCGAACGGGUGAGUAAUGCAUCGGAACGUAUCCUGGAGUGGGGGAUAACGUAGCGAAAGUUACGCUAAUACCGCAUAUUCUGUGAGGCAGGGAAAGCGGGGGACCCUUCGGGGCCUCGCGCUCUUGGAGCGGCCGAUGUCGGAUUAGCUAGUUGGUAGAGGUAAAGGCUACGACCAAGGCGACGAUCCGUAGCAGGCCUGAGAGGAUGAUCUGCCAGACUGGAACUGAGG
rnacentral:rRNA from 1 species